GCACCCGCGGUAAUUCCAGCUCCAAUAGCGUAUAUUAAAGUCGUUGCAGUUAAAAAGCUCGUAGUUGAACUUCUGUACAGUCUCACUUCUGGCUUCGGUCAAGGUGUUGGCUGUGCAUCCGCUUGCAAAGCUGGUUCGGCCUUAACUGGUCGGCUAGUAGAGUAAGCCCUUUACUUUGAAAAAAUUAGAGUGUUUCAGGCAGGCAAUGGCUCGAAUACAUUAGCAUGGAAUAAUGGAAUAGGACUUUUGUCCAUUUGGUUGGUUCUUGGACUUAAGUAAUGAUUAAAAGGGACAGUUGGGGGCAUUGGUAUUUAACAGUCAGAGGUGAAAUUCUUGGAUUUGUUAAAGACUAACUUAUGCGAAAGCAUUUGCCAAGGAUGUUUUCAUCGAUCAAGAACGAAAGU
rnacentral:rRNA from 1 species